CCUACGGGAGACAGCAGUGGGGGAUAUUGCACAAUGGGGGGAACCCUGAUGCAGCGACGCCGCGUGGGUGAAGGAGUGCUUCGGCAUGUAAAGCCCUAUCGGCAGGGAAGAAGCAAGACGGUACCUGACUAAGAAGCCCCGGCUAACUACGUGCCAGCAGCCGCGGUAAUACGUAGGGGGCGAGCGUUAUCCGGAUUCACUGGGGGGAACGGGAGCGUAGACAGCCAUGCAAGCCAGGGGUGAAAGCCCGGGGCCCAACCCCGGGACUGCCCUUGGAACUGCAUGGCUAGAGUGCAGGAGGGGCAGGCGGAAUGCCUGGUGUAGCGGUGAAAUGCGUAGAGAUCAGGAGGAACACCGGCGGCGAAGGCGGCCUGCUGGACCGCGACUGACGUUGAGGCUCGAAAGCGUGGGGAGCGAACAGGAUUAGAUACCCUAGUAGUC
rnacentral:rRNA from 1 species